CGAAGUUCCCUCUGACUGUAGGGGUUGCAUCCCUUUAGGAAUCAGUCAAUUGGUUGCCUAGCAGUUGGAAGGUGAAGAAAGUUUAGAUAUGACGUCCUGAGAUUAGUGAUGUCGGAAAAGAAAUAGAGCGACAAUUAGGACUACUUGCUAGCGCAAUUGAGGUGACGUCUUGGCUUCAAAGCUACUGCUCCAUGAAGUGUUUGCUGAUCGUUCCCCUGAAGUGUUUGGUAAUCGCCCCCAUGAAGUGUUUGCUGAUCGUACUCAACUGUUUGCUGAUGCUCCACGUACUGUUGGUGCCACAAUGACUGUUCCCACUCACAUGGUUCCUCCACCUAUCCUUCAACUGGAUUUCCCUGCUCCUCCAGUUUUAUCAUUUGGUAGGAUUCCUCCACAACCACCUUCGUUGCCAAAAUCAGCUGCAUCUCAAAUACAUGCUCCACCCAGUAUACACGCUUCACCACUUCCUCCGAAAGUAUUCAGCAGCCUACAUCUGACUUCAAGAGACGAAGCAAAAUCUUGGACAUUAGCUUGCGAGACCUAGCUCGACAUUGUUUCCAGUGCCAGAAGAUGUUUUCAAGGAUUGUAACUCCUUGAACUCAUGGACUUUUGCCUUGGACACUAAUUAAAUUUUUUCACUUUUAGAGAACUAGGUUCCUCACCAGGUGCGUCAAUGAAUUUCUCGGUAAUCCCUCGUCUAUGGCGGGGGAGGGAUGAUGCAGAGCAAGGAGUCCCAAAAUAGUAGGUGCCCCCAAAACAUCGAUAAAGUGAGCCAAAUGGUGAAUUUGGCGAAGUUCCCUGUUGCUGUAGGGGUUGCAUCCUUUUAGGAAUCAGUCGAUGCGUUGCCUAGCAGUUGGAAGGUGAAGAAGGUUUAGAUAUGACGCCCUGGUGAGUGAUCUUAGUUUCUCCCCCCCCCUCCUUUUUGCGUUGCUUACUGUUAUGGAAUCAAUAUGCAAUCAAGAUAAUUUUAAUAAUUAAAAUUUAAAUGAACUUUAAAAUGUGUAAUAGAUUUUUAACUCUAAUUAACAUGAUACAUACUAAAGUAAUAUCAAUAGUUGUAUCAAUUAUUCCAGUACAUUUUAUAAUUCAUUUGAUGUCACCUUUAUGUUUUCUGAAAUAAAACAUAGAAAAUUGUGUUUUCUCGAUUUUGCGUUUUAUUAAAGUUCUUGCAGGUCGCUAUAGCGCAAGCUCAUAUUUGGCUACUACUGUUAAAUUCUUGAAAUCAGAUGAGAAGAAAAUUACAUCAAAAUGAAUAAAAAAAUAUCUCACAAAUGUAUGUAUUGGAAACAAUGAAUGUAUUGAAAUAAAUUUUAAAAAGAUGCUAA